rnacentral:rRNA from 1 species
AGUUUGAUCAUGGCUCAGAUUGAACGCUGGCGGCAUGCCUUACACAUGCAAGUCGAACGGCAGCACGGGAGCUUGCUCCUGGUGGCGAGUGGCGAACGGGUGAGUAAUACAUCGGAACGUACCCUGAAGUGGGGGAUAACGUAGCGAAAGUUACGCUAAUACCGCAUAUUCUGUGAGCAGGAAAGAGGGGGAUCGCAAGACCUCUUGCUUUAGGAGCGGCCGAUGUCGGAUUAGCUAGUUGGUGAGGUAAAGGCUCACCAAGGCGACGAUCCGUAGCGGGUCUGAGAGGAUGAUCCGCCACACUGGGACUGAGACACGGCCCAGACUCCUACGGGAGGCAGCAGUGGGGAAUUUUGGGCAAUGGGCGCAAGCCUGAUCCAGCCAUGCCGCGUGAGUGAAGAAGGCCUUCGGGUUGUAAAGCUCUUUCGGUGGGGAAGAAAUUGCUUCGGUUAAUACCUGGAGUAGAUGACGGUACCCGCAUAAGAAGCACCGGCUAACUACGUG